AUAAAUGCAGCUUCAAGAUGAAGAACAAAACACAACUCAAAGUACCAAGCAAAGAUCAAUCAUUUCAAUCAUACUCAAGCAUCUCAAUAUCAUUCUUAAAGCUUGCUGUUUUUAAUCUUUGUGUUGUGUUAGAAUCAAUCACAACUGAGUUCUAUUUACAUAAUCUAUUUCUCAAACAAGAGUUGAGUAAAUACCCAAAUUCUAAACAUUCUCAAAUCCACCACUUUGUAACUCAAGGUUAUUUUGUUAACAUAAUCUUGAGUGAUUUGUAAAAAUCCCUUUCAUAUUUUGAAAG
rnacentral:lncRNA from 1 species